rnacentral:tRNA from 1 species
GCCGAGGUGGUGGAAUGGUAGACACGCUAGCUUCAGGUGCUAGUGGGCGCAAGCCCGUGAAGGUUCAAGUCCUUUUCUCGGUACCA